CCUACGGGAGGCUGCAGUGGGGAAUAUUGGACAAUGGGGGAAACCCUGAUCCAGCCAUGCCGCGUGAGUGAUGAAGGCUUUAGGGUUGUAAAGCUCUUUCGCCGAUGAAGAUAUUGACGGUAGUCGGAGAAGAAGCCCCGGCUAACUUCGUGCCAGCAGCCGCGGUAAUACGAAGGGGGCUAGCGUUGUUCGGAAUUACUGGGCGUAAAGCGAGCGUAGGUUGUGUCGCAAGUCAGUGGUGAAAUCCCGGAGCUUAACUUCGGAACUGCCAUUGA
rnacentral:rRNA from 1 species